rnacentral:rRNA from 1 species
AACGAACGCUGGCGGCAUGCCUAACACAUGCAAGUCGAACGAAGCCUUCGGGCUUAGUGGCGCACGGGUGCGUAACGCGUGGGAAUCUGCCCUUUGGUUCGGAAUAACAGUUGGAAACGACUGCUAAUACCGGAUGAUGACGAAAGUCCAAAGAUUUAUCGCCAGAGGAUGAGCCCGCGUAGGAUUAGCUAGUUGGUGUGGUAAAGGCGCACCAAGGCGACGAUCCUUAGCUGGUCUGAGAGGAUGAUCAGCCACACUGGGACUGAGACACGGCCCAGACUCCUACGGGAGGCAGCAGUGGGGAAUAUUGGACAAUGGGCGAAAGCCUGAUCCAGCAAUGCCGCGUGAGUGAUGAAGGCCCUAGGGUUGUAAAGCUCUUUUACCCGGGAUGAUAAUGACAGUACCGGGAGAAUAAGCCCCGGCUAACUCCGUGCCAGCAGCCGCCGUAAAAC